rnacentral:rRNA from 1 species
AUACGGGGGGUGCAAGCGUUAUUCGGAUUUAUUGGGCGUAAAGAGCGCGUAGGCGGCUUGGUAAGUCAGAUGUGAAAGCCCGGGGCUCAACCCCGGAAGUGCAUUUGAAACUAUCAGGCUUGAGUAUGCGAGAGGGAAGUGGAAUUCCUGGUGUAGAGGUGAAAUUCGUAGAUAUCAGGAGGAACACCGGUGGCGAAGGCGACUUCCUGGACCAAUACUGACGCUGAGGCGCGAAGGCGUGGGGAGCAAACAGAAUUAGAAACCCCAGUAGUCC